AAUUGUGUCCAGCGAUCACUGCGACAAACUCCAUAAGGACAUAAGCGGGGGACCCACCCGCACGAACCCACCUCGGUGGCCGUGCACCGCGGGAACCCUCACCGGCCACAACCGGCCAGUGAAACCCGCUGGGGUGAAGCCGCACACGCGGCCAGGCACCUUACUAAGACCUCAGCCUGAACCCGACAGCUCACCUCGCAAACGCUUAACAAGAGAGGAACU
rnacentral:sRNA from 2 species